rnacentral:rRNA from 1 species
CCUACGGGAGGCAGCAGUGGGGAAUAUUGCACAAUGGGGGAAACCCUGAUGCAGCGACGCCGCGUGACGGACGAAGUAUUUCGGUACGUAAAGUUCUAUCAGCAGGGAAGAAAAUGACGGUACCUGACCAAGAAGCCCCGGCUAACUACGUGCCAGCAGCCGCGGUAAUACGUAGGGGGCAAGCGUGAUCCGGAUUUACUGGGUGUAAAGGGAGCGUAGACGGCUAUUCAAGUCUGAUUUGAAAAACCAGGGCGCAACCUCGGGACUUCUGUGGAAACUGUGUGGUGAGAGUGUCGGAGAGGCAAGUAGAAUUCCUAGUGUAGCGGUGAAAUGCGUAGAUAUUAGGAGGAACACCAGUGGCGAAGGCGGCUGACUGGACGACAACUGACGUUGAGGCUCGAAAGCGUGGGGAGCAAACAGGAUUAGAUACCCGAGUAGUC